AAUAAUUUCAUACUGUGCCCUUUCCUGUAAAUAUAUCAAACAGCAUAUAUAUUCCUACUAAGAUUAAUUUUUCAUAUUUAUUUUUACAAAAGUCCGGUGAUAUUCAUAUUUACCUUUCUGAUUUGUUACCAUUAGAUUACUAUUUAAUUUUUAACAGAAGAUAAGUAAAAAUGAUAUUUUGCUCUCUCAAAUAUACCCCUCCAAACAUCCCAACUAUUAGAAUUGUACAAAAAUAUUCUUCCAAAAAUUUUCAACGGUCACAUUCUUUCUUUAUAAGUAAAAUGUUAUUUUUGUCAUCACAAAUAUAAGAGUGGUAAAGAAAGCAAUUUACCUUAUUCGAUUACUAAUCAAGGUAAAGUAUUUUAUCUAUAGUUAAUUAUAUUUUUCUAACGGAUCUAAAGACAAUGGAUAUUUGAAAAUGUUAGAAUUUUUAUAGAAAUAAAUAUGAAAAGUUAAACUUUAUAUAUAGAAAUAUAUCUACUAUUUGAUAUGUUUAUAGAGAGUUGUAUGAAAUUAUCCCUUUAUUUUAAAAGGCCCAUUUGGUUCACGAUUUAUAAAGUUUUGAUAAAUUUU
rnacentral:lncRNA from 1 species